rnacentral:rRNA from 1 species
UCCAGACUCCUACGGGAGGCAGCAGUGGGGGAUAUUGCACAAUGGGGGGAACCCUGAUGCAGCGACGCCGCGUGGGUGAAGGAGCGUUUCGGCGCGUAAAGCCCUAUCGGCAGGGAAGAAGGAGGACGGUACCUGACUAAGAAGCCCCGGCUAACUACGUGCCAGCAGCCGCGGUAAUACGUAGGGGGCAAGCGUUAUCCGGAUUUACUGGGUGUAAAGGGGGCGCAGACGGCAGCGCAAGCCAGGAGUGAAAGCCCGGGGCCCAACCCCGGGACUGCUCUUGGAACUGCGCGGCUGGAGUGCAGGAGGGGCAGGCGGAAUUCCUGGUGUAGCGGUGAAAUGCGUAGAUAUCAGGAGGAACACCGGUGGCGAAGGCGGCCUGCUGGACUGCGACUGACGUUGAGGCCCGAAAGCGUGGGGAGCAAACAGGAUUAGAUACCCCGGUAAUG